rnacentral:rRNA from 1 species
GACGUAGGGCGCGAGCGUUGUUCGGAUUCAUUGGGCGUAAAGGGUGCGUAGGCGGCGCGGUAAGUCGGGUGUGAAAUCUCGGAGCUUAACUCCGAAACUGCAUUCGAUACUGCCGUGCUUGAGGACUGGAGAGGAGACUGGAAUUUACGGUGUAGCGGUGAAAUGCGUAGAUAUCGUAAGGAAGACCAGUGGCGAAGGCGGGUCUCUGGACAGUUCCUGACACUGAGGCACGAAGGCCAGGGGAGCAAACGGG